rnacentral:rRNA from 1 species
GACGAACGCUGGCGGCGUGCUUAACACAUGCCAGUCGAACGGAAAGGCCCUGCUUUUGUGGGGUGCUCGAGUGGCGAACGGGUGAGUAACACGUGAGUAACCUGCCCUUGACUUUGGGAUAACUUCAGGAAACUGGGGCUAAUACCGGAUAGGAGCUCCUGCUGCAUGGUGGGGGUUGGAAAGUUUCGGCGGUUGGGGAUGGACUCGCGGCUUAUCAGCUUGUUGGUGGGGUAGUGGCUUACCAAGGCUUUGACGGGUAGCCGGCCUGAGAGGGUGACCGGCCACAUUGGGACUGAGAUACGGCCCAGACUCCUACGGGAGGCAGCAGUGGGGAAUAUUGCACAAUGGGCGGAAGCCUGAUGCAGCAACGCCGCGUGAGGGAUGACGGCCUUCGGGUUGUAAACCGCUUUAGCCUGUGACGAAGCGUGAGUGACGGUAAUGGGUAAAGAAGCACCGGCUAACUACGUG